rnacentral:rRNA from 1 species
UACGUAGGGUGCAAGCGUUAAUCGGAAUUACUGGGCGUAAAGCGUGCGCAGGCGGUUUCGUAAGUCUGUCGUGAAAGCCCCGGGCUCAACCUGGGAAUUGCGAUGGAGACUGCGAGGCUAGAGUGUGUCAGAGGGGGGUAGAAUUCCACGUGUAGCAGUGAAAUGCGUAGAUAUGUGGAGGAACACCGAUGGCGAAGGCAAUCCCCUGGACCUGUACUGACGCUCAUGCACGAAAGCGUGGGGAGCAAACAGG